rnacentral:rRNA from 1 species
UGAGUAAUGUCUGGGAAACUGCCCGAUGGAGGGGGAUAACUACUGGAAACGGUAGCUAAUACCGCAUAACGUCGCAAGACCAAAGUGGGGGACCUUCGGGCCUCAUGCCAUCAGAUGUGCCCAGAUGGGAUUAGCUAGUAGGUGAGGUAAUGGCUCACCUAGGCGACGAUCCCUAGCUGGUCUGAGAGGAUGACCAGCCACACUGGAACUGAGACACGGUCCAGACUCCUACGGGAGGCAGCAGUGGGGAAUAUUGCACAAUGGGCGCAAGCCUGAUGCAGCCAUGCCGCGUGUAUGAAGAAGGCCUUCGGGUUGUAAAGUACUUUCAGCGAGGAGGAAGGCAUUAAGGUUAAUAACCUUAGUGAUUGACGUUACUCGCAGAAGAAGCACCGGCUAACUCCGUGCCAGCAGCCGCGGUAAUACGGAGGGUGCAAGCGUUAAUCGGAAUUACUGGGCGUAAAGCGCACGCAGGCGGUCUGUCAAGUCGGAUGUGAAAUCCCCGGG